UACGAAGGGGGCUAGCGUUGCUCGGAAUCACUGGGCGUAAAGGGUGCGUAGGCGGGUCUUUAAGUCAGGGGUGAAGUCCCGGAGCUCAACUCCGGAACUGCCCUUGAAACUGCAGUGCUAGAAUUCUGGAGAGGCGAGUGGAAUUCCGAGUGUAGAGGUGAAAUUCGUAGAUAUUCGGAAGAACACCAGUGGCGAAGGCGACUCGCUGGACAGACAUUGACGCUGAGGUGCGAAAGCGUGGGGAGCAAACAGG
rnacentral:rRNA from 1 species